GCUGUUAAGGGUUCGUAGUUGAAUUGUGGAUCUAGAAGCCGGGGCCCCCUCCUUUGCCCCGUGCUCAGGAACACCCCGAUCUAUUUCCGAGAACACUAGAAACUAAUAUCACGGGAGCGUUUCCCGCCGCUUCGCGAGCAAUGCACGCAGGCGGGCGUCCGUGUUCAUUACUGUGACUAAGAAGUGCGACCAAAGCAGUCCAUCGACAUGAAUUAGAAAGCAUGGGAUAACAAAGGGCAUCCUACAGACUACCGUUAAGGCUUUUGUUGGUUUUAAAGGUCAGUGGGAGAUUACGGGUUGGUGGACCGGCGUUCGGAGGGCUCGUUUCCUCCUGCGCUUCCCGCUCGGUCUGGCUUGUCCGGUCGGCGCGGGCCUGCUUCAACUCAGGAAUGAAGGAGGGUUGCUCGGGGGAGACGUACUUGAGCGUGAGAGGUGAAAUUCUUAGACCGCUCAAAGACGAACUACAGCGAAGGCUUCUCCAAGGAUACCUUCCUCAAUCAAGAACCAAAGUGUGGAGAUCGAAGAUGAUUAGGACCAUUGUAGUCC
rnacentral:rRNA from 1 species